UACGGAGGGUGCAAGCGUUAAUCGGAAUUACUGGGCGUAAAGGGUGCGUAGGUGGUUAGAUAAGUUAUCUGUAAAAUCCCCGGGCUUAACCUGGGCAGGUCAGAUAAGACUGUUUGACUCGAGUAUGGGAGAGGGUAGUGGAAUUUCUGGUGUAGCGGUGAAAUGCGUAGAGAUCGGAAGGAACACCAGUGGCGAAGGCGGCUACCUGGCCUAAUACUGACACUGAGGCACGAAAGCGUGGGGAGCAAACAGG
rnacentral:rRNA from 1 species